AAUCCAUGCAUUGUGCAUUUAUGCAGUAAAUCCUUGAAAUGUUCCCAUGCUUUGUACAAGUUUUCAUCUUCUAACUACUUAAAGGAUGCUAAAUCAUUCUUUAGCUU